UAUACAUAAAUAAAGGUGAGGAGGGCUUGCCAGUUACCGCAGCUAGGUUUAGGAACAUGGGUGGUGGUGGUGCUAGAGAUACAUUGAGCGAUUCUGAUUUUGUUUCUGAGUUUAAUUUUGAUUCAGAAUGGGCAAGCCUUCCUCUAUGUUUUUUGUCCU
rnacentral:miRNA from 1 species